rnacentral:rRNA from 1 species
GACGAACGCUGGCGGCGUGCUUAACACAUGCAAGUCGAACGGAAAGGCCUGCUUUCCCUUGUGGAUUGCGGGUACUCGAGUGGCGAACGGGUGAGUAACACGUGAGUGAUCUGCCCCCAACUUGGGUAUAAGCCUGGGAAACUGGGUCUAAUUCCCGAUAGGACUGCAGGGUGGUGCCUGUGGUGGAAAACGAUUUUCUAGUGGUUGGGGAUGAGCUCGCGGCCUAUCAGCUUGUUGGUGGGGUAAUGGCCUACCAAGGCGGCGACGGGUAGCCGGCCUGAGAGGGUGGACGGCCACAUUGGGACUGAGAUACGGCCCAGACUCCUACGGGAGGCAGCAGGGGGGAAUAUUGCACAAUGGGCGGAAGCCUGAUGCAGCGACGCCGCGUGGGGGAUGACGGCCUUCGGGUUGUAAACUCCUUUCGACCGCGAGGAAGCCACCUGGUUGGAAGGGUGGUGACGGUAGUGGUAGAAGAAGCACCGGCUAACUACGUG